rnacentral:rRNA from 1 species
GACGUAGGGCGCAAGCGUUGUCCGGAUUUAUUGGGCGUAAAGAGCUCGUAGGCGGCUUGUCGCGUCGGCUGUGAAAACCCGCGGCUCAACUGUGGGCGGGCAGCUGAUACGGGCAGGCUGGAGUUCGGUAGGGGAGACUGGAAUUCCUGGUGUAGCGGUGAAAUGCGCAGAUAUCAGGAGGAACACCAAUUGCGAAGGCAGCUCGCUGGGACGUUACUGACGCUGAGACGCGAAAGCGUGGGGAGCAAACAGG